AAAAAUUCGCCAUUCUAAAGAAUAUUUCUCGUGAAAUUGUUCAUCACGAUUCGCCAACAUGAUAUUUGCCCAAACAAGGGUUAAUUGAUAACCUUUUGCACAGCUAUGACUGCAAAUAAAAUCAAGCAAAAAAAUGAAUAUAAAAGUUACAAUUGUUCAUUUAAAACCAAGACGAAUGUUAAUUUCUGUUUUCGUUUUCUUGUCAUACGCCACCGUAGGAAUUGUCGGCAUUUUAUUUGUGUUCAUUGGUUCACAUCGUGAUAAUCGUAAAACGUAUUCAAAUUAUUAUUAAUUUCAAUUUUUCGCUCUCUUCUUUAAUUUCGUUUGACAUUAACGCCAUUACUUGGGUUGUUACAAUGGCUGCGUCUUCAAUUGUACGCGACAGGCCGUCAGAACACAGGCUGCAACCACAUUUAUGUUGAAAUUUUCGGAUAGAGAUAUUUUCCCCACUUUGGCUCCAAUAGCUGAGGGCGUAUUUCUUGCCACCCUGUAUUCAGAAAUGAACAUACAUACCUACAACAAAGUUCAAGCCAUAUUCAGAUAUGACAGCGAAAAAAAAUGAAAACAUUUUCAGCUGGGUUUCUUUCUAAUUUAUGCACGAAAUGGAAAAGUUCAAAAUCAUUCUCGUCUUUCAUGGCACACUAUAUCCCGCUGUUCGUCCGUCCGUCAUUCAAUUCAAUCGCUUGCCAGCUAGCUCACCCCAUCCAGUGUCUCCCGUAUUUGGCACAUCAUGUUUAUUGUCGUUGACAGUUUUCUGUCUCUAUUUGCUGGUGUUGUUGGCAUUGUUGUUGUGUCAUUUUGGUUUGUUGUUUUGUAUUUUUUGUAUUUUUUCUUUUUUUUUUUUUGCUUUUGUUGUGUUGAAAUUUAAUCGUGCUGUGAAUUAAAUUGACAACUAACCGAUGGCCAGGCGGACGAUGUGCAAGAUAUGUAGUUAUAAUGCGAACAAUUGUAAUGCGAGUGGUUUCUUGAAAAUAUUUUUAGUGGUAAUAUGGCGCCCAAAUAUUUUUGAGCCUUUUAAAGAACAGCGGAAUGUCCCUAUGUACGAUAUAUGCAAAAACAAGCAGGCACACAACUAAGAUAGGUAUAUUAGGUAUUAGAAUCUGCAAAUUGCUAAAAAAAAGCAUUAUGGUACUAUUAACA